AGAAUCAACGCUGGCGGCGUGCCUAACACAUGCAAGUCGAACGCGAAAGGGGAGCAAUCCCUGAGUAGAGUGGCAAACGGGUGAGUAACACGUGGGUGACCUGCCUUCGAGUGGGGGAUAACGUUCCGAAAGGAACGCUAAUACCGCAUGACAUCCUGCUUUUGGAAAAGCGGAGAUCAAAGCUGGGGAUUCGCAAGAACCUAGCGCUUGAAGAGGGGCCCGCGCCUGAUUAGCUAGUUGGUGAGGUAACGGCUCACCAAGGCUACGAUCAGUAUCCGGCCUGAGAGGGCGACGGACACACUGGGACUGGAGACACGGCCCAGACUCCUACGGAGGCAGCAGUGGGAAUGUUCGCAAUGGGCGCAAGCCUGACGACGCAACGCGCGUGGAGGAUGAAGAUUUUUCGGAUCGUAAACUCCUGUCGAGUGGGAAGAAUAGACCUAAGGGUAAAUAUACCCCCAAAGGUCUAGACGGUACACGUAAAGGUAACGCCCGGACUAACCUCCGUACGCCGAGC
rnacentral:rRNA from 1 species